GACGUGGGGCGCGAGCGUUGUCCGGAUUUAUUGGGCGUAAAGAGCUCGUAGGCGGCUUGUCGCGUCGUCCGUGAAAACCUGGGGCUCAACCCCAGGCUUGCGGUCGAUACGGGCAGGCUCGAGUUCGGUAGGGGAGACUGGAAUUCCUGGUGUAGCGGUGAAAUGCGCAGAUAUCAGGAGGAACACCGAUGGCGAAGGCAGUUCUCUGGGCCGUAACUGACGCUGAGGAGCGAAAGCGUGGGGAGCGAACAGG
rnacentral:rRNA from 1 species